rnacentral:rRNA from 1 species
UAGGGGGGGCAGGCCUACACAUGCAGUCGAGCGGUAACACAGAGAGCUUGCUCUCGGGUGACGAGCGGCGGACGGGUGAGUAAUGUCUGGGAAACUGCCUGAUGGAGGGGGAUAACUACUGGAAACGGUAGCUAAUACCGCAUAACGUCGCAAGACCAAAGUGGGGGACCUUCGGGCCUCAUGCCAUCAGAUGUGCCCAGAUGGGAUUAGCUAGUAGGUGGGGUAAUGGCUCACCUAGGCGACGAUCCCUAGCUGGUCUGAGAGGAUGACCAGCCACACUGGAACUGAGACACGGUCCAGACUCCUACGGGAGGCAGCAGUGGGGAAUAUUGCACAAUGGGCGCAAGCCUGAUGCAGCCAUGCCGCGUGUAUGAAGAAGGCCUUCGGGUUGUAAAGUACUUUCAGCGAGGAGGAAGGCGUUAAGGUUAAUAACCUUGAUGAUUGACGUUACUCGCAGAAGAAGCACCGGCUAACUCCGUGCCAGCAGCCGCGGUAAUACGGAGGGUGCAAGCGUUAAUCGGAAUUACUGGGCGUAAAGCGCACGCAGGCGGUCUGUCAAGUCGGAUGUGAAAUCCCCGGGCUCAACCUGGGAACUGCAUUCGAAACUGGCAGGCUAGAGUCUUGUAGAGGGGGGUAGAAUUCCAGGUGUAGCGGUGAAAUGCGUAGAGAUCUGGAGGAAUACCGGUGGCGAAGGCGGCCCCCUGGACAAAGACUGACGCUCAGGUGCGAAAGCGUGGGGAGCAAACAGGAUUAGAUACCCUGGUAGUCCACGCCGUAAACGAUGUCGACUUGGAGGUUGUGCCCUUGAGGCGUGGCUUCCGGAGCUAACGCGUUAAGUCGACCGCCUGGGGAGUACGGCCGCAAGGUUAAAACUCAAAUGAAUUGACGGGGGCCCGCACAAGCGGUGGAGCAUGUGGUUUAAUUCGAUGCAACGCGAAGAACCUUACCUACUCUUGACAUCCAGAGAACUUAGCAGAGAUGCUUUGGUGCCUUCGGGAACUCUGAGACAGGUGCUGCAUGGCUGUCGUCAGCUCGUGUUGUGAAAUGUUGGGUUAAGUCCCGCAACGAGCGCAACCCUUAUCCUUUGUUGCCAGCGGUCCGGCCGGGAACUCAAAGGAGACUGCCAGUGAUAAACUGGAGGAAGGUGGGGAUGACGUCAAGUCAUCAUGGCCCUUACGAGUAGGGCUACACACGUGCUACAAUGGCAUAUACAAAGAGAAGCGACCUCGCGAGAGCAAGCGGACCUCAUAAAGUAUGUCGUAGUCCGGAUUGGAGUCUGCAACUCGACUCCAUGAAGUCGGAAUCGCUAGUAAUCGUAGAUCAGAAUGCUACGGUGAAUACGUUCCCGGGCCUUGUACACACCGCCCGUCACACCAUGGGAGUGGGUUGCAAAAGAAGUAGGUAGCUUAACCUUCGGGAGGGCGCUUACCACUUUGUGAUUCAUGACUGGGGUGAAGUCGUAACAAGACGCGAAG